AAUGGGUCAGCGACUUAUAUUCUGUAGCAAGGUUAACCGUAUAGGGGAGCCGUAGGGAAACCGAGUCUUAACCGGGCGUUAAGUUGCAGGGUAUAGACCCGAAACCCGGUGAUCUAGCCAUGGGCAGGUUGAAGGUUGGGUAACACUAACUGGAGGACCGAACCGACUAAUGUUGAAAAAUUAGCGGAUGACCUGUGGCUGGGGGUGAAAGGCCAAUCAAACCGGGAGAUAGCUGGUUCUCCCCGAAAGCUAUUUAGGUAGCGCCUCGUGAAUUCAUCUCCGGGGGUAGAGCACUGUUUCGGCUAGGGGGCCAUCCCGGCUUACCAACCCGAUGCAAACUGCGAAUACCGGAGAAUGUUAUCACGGGAGACACACGGCGGGUGCUAACGUCCGUCGUGAAGAGGGAAACAACCCAGACCGCCAGCUAAGGUCCCAAAGUCAUGGUUAAGUGGGAAACGAUGUGGGAAGGCCCAGACAGCCAGGAUGUUGGCUUAGAAGCAGCCAUCAUUUAAAGAAAGCGUAAUAGCUCACUGGUCGAGUCGGCCUGCGCGGAAGAUGUAACGGGGCUAAACCAUGCACCGAAGCUGCGGCAGCGACGCUGAUGCGUUGUUGGGUAGGGGAGCGUUCUGUAAGCCUGUGAAGGUGGCCUGUGAGGGUUGCUGGAGGUAUCAGAAGUGCGAAUGCUGACAUAAGUAACGAUAAAGCGGGUGAAAAGCCCGCUCGCCGGAAGACCAAGGGUUCCUGUCCAACGUUAAUCGGGGCAGGGUGAGUCGACCCCUAAGGCGAGGCCGAAAGGCGUAGUCGAUGGGAAACGGGUUAAUAUUCCCGUACUUGGUGUUACUGCGAAGGGGGGACGGAGAAGGCUAUGUUGGCCGGGCGACGGUUGUCCCGGUUUAAGCGUGUAGGUGUGUGUUCCAGGUAAAUCCGGUUCACUUUAACACUGAGGCGUGAUGACGAGGCACUACGGUGCUGAAGCAACAAAUGCCCUGCUUCCAGGAAAAGCCUCUAAGCAUCAGGUAACAUCAAAUCGUACCCCAAACCGACACAGGUGGUCAGGUAGAGAAUACCAAGGCGCUUGAGAGAACUCGGGUGAAGGAACUAGGCAAAAUGGUGCCGUAACUUCGGGAGAAGGCACGCUGACACGUAGGUGAAGUGAUUUACUCAUGGAGCUGAAGUCAGUCGAAGAUACCAGCUGGCUGCAACUGUUUAUUAAAAACACAGCACUGUGCAAACACGAAAGUGGACGUAUACGGUGUGACGCCUGCCCGGUGCCGGAAGGUUAAUUGAUGGGGUCAGCGCAAGCGAAGCUCCUGAUCGAAGCCCCGGUAAACGGCGGCCGUAACUAUAACGGUCCUAAGGUAGCGAAAUUCCUUGUCGGGUAAGUUCCGACCUGCACGAAUGGCGUAAUGAUGGCCAGGCUGUCUCCACCCGAGACUCAGUGAAAUUGAACUCGCUGUGAAGAUGCAGUGUACCCGCGGCAAGACGGAAAGACCCCGUGAACCUUUACUAUAGCUUGACACUGAACAUUGAGCCUUGAUGUGUAGGAUAGGUGGGAGGCUUUGAAGCGUGGACGCCAGUCUGCAUGGAGCCGGCCUUGAAAUACCACCCUUUAAUGUUUGAUGUUCUAACGUGGACCCGUGAUCCGGGUUGCGGACAGUGUCUGGUGGGUAGUUUGACUGGGGCGGUCUCCUCCUAAAGAG
rnacentral:rRNA from 1 species